rnacentral:rRNA from 1 species
AGAGUUUGAUCAUUGCUCAGGACGAACGCUGGCGGCGUGCCUAAUACAUGCAAGUAGAACGCUGAAGAGAGGAGCUUGCUCUUCUUGGAUGAGUUGCGAACGGGUGAGUAACGCGUAGGUAACCUGCCUUGUAGCGGGGGAUAACUAUUGGAAACGAUAGCUAAUACCGCAUAACAAUGGAUGACACAUGUCAUUUAUUUGAAAGGGGCAAUUGCUCCACUACAAGAUGGACCUGCGUUGUAUUAGCUAGUAGGUGAGGUAAUGGCUCACCUAGGCGACGAUACAUAGCCGACCUGAGAGGGUGAUCGGCCACACUGGGACUGAGACACGGCCCAGACUCCUACGGGAGGCAGCAGUAGGGAAUCUUCGGCAAUGGGGGCAACCCUGACCGAGCAACGCCGCGUGAGUGAAGAAGGUUUUCGGAUCGUAAAGCUCUGUUGUAAGUCAAGAACGGGUGUGAGAGUGGAAAGUUCACACUGUGACGGUAGCUUACCAGAAAGGGACGGCUAACUACGUGCCAGCAGCCGCGGUAAUACGUAGGUCCCGAGCGUUGUCCGGAUUUAUUGGGCGUAAAGCGAGCGCAGGCGGUUUGAUAAGUCUGAAGUUAAAGGCUGUGGCUCAACCAUAGUUCGCUUUGGAAACUGUCAAACUUGAGUGCAGAAGGGGAGAGUGGAACUCCAUGUGUAGCGGUGAAAUGCGUAGAUAUAUGGAGGAACACCGGUGGCGAAAGCGGCUCUCUGGUCUGUAACUGACGCUGAGGCUCGAAAGCGUGGGGAGCGAACAGGAUUAGAUACCCUGGUAGUCCACGCCGUAAACGAUGAGUGCUAGGUGUUGGAUCCUUUCCGGGAUUCAGUGCCGCAGCU